UUCACUUUGUAAGAAUCUACAUUCUAAAGUUUUAUGCCCGUGAUCAUUGUGGAAUUCACAUCAAUGGUCUGGAUUACGUCUAUUUGGAUUUAUCCGCAUCUCUUUUGGUCAUCGUACCUUAUCUCCCAUGCUCCUCAAACUCACUGAACCUUGCCUUUAAAAUUCUGUCAUCAUCCCGCUACUCUUGUCUCAUCGAUUAUUUCUGGACGUUGAUGAAGAACCAGAUUCCCUAUUCCUCGAUUUUUGAUCAUAUCGUUGAUUAUCCAGCUUUGGCCAUGAGUCUUUCCCUGCAGGUCCCAUAUAUGGAUAGUACCUGUUUUUACCUUAUUUUUUUUCGGUUUUUGAUCUCCUGGAAUUGCUCAUUUCUUCAUGAUGAAACUGAGGUACGGUAUUUUCCUCAAUUCAUAACUUCAUACUAUACCUGUUGUAAACGUUAUUCCACAUAGUUGCAGGGAACUCUCGAAGGCUUUCUUUAAGUCUAC
rnacentral:lncRNA from 1 species